GAUGAACGCUGGCUACGCGCCUAACACAUGCAAGUCGAAGGCUGGAGAUCUUGCUUGCUUGAUCUCAUGAGAGGCCAACGGGUGAGUAGUAGAUUAACGACCUUCCCACUAUCACAGGGAUAAUGUCUGGAAAGCGGGACUGAUAACGGAUAGGUUAUCGGAAGGCAUCUUCUGGUUAUAAAAGGAUAAAAAAUCUGGUGGAUGGGCUUAUGGAUGCGUAUUAAUUUGGUGAGGUAACGGCCCCCCCCCACCAUGAUGCCUAUCCGGCCGGGUAGGGAGAACAGCGUCCUUGGGACUGAAACUCAGACCAGACUCCUACUGGAGGCAGCAGUAGGGAAUUUUCGGCAAUGGGGGCAACCCUGACCGAGCAACGCCCCGUGAGUGAAGACGGCCUUCGGGUUGUAGAUUUCUGUUGGAUUGUAAGAACGGAUGAUAUAGAAUAUCUGAGUGACGGUGCCUUACCAGAAAGACACAGGUAACUACAUGUCAGCGCCCGCGGUAAUACGUAUGUGGCGAGCGCUAUCCUGAUUUAUUGUGCUUGGGUGGUGCGUAAGCGGCCUGCUAAGUUAGUGUUUAAAUUGUUGUGCUCACCCUCAUCCUCUGACUUAAACUGGCAGGCUAGAGUAUUGGAGACGCAAGUGGAAUUCCAUGUGUAGCGGUGUAAUGCGUAGAUAUAUGGAGGAACACCAGUGUCGAAUUGGCUUGCUAGCUGAAGACUGACGCUCUUGCACUAAAGCGUGGGGAGCAAGAAG
rnacentral:rRNA from 1 species